CAACCAAUUAAAGUUCACUUUGUGUGAAUGUAGAGUCAGAGGAGCUGGAAGAACAUGCCUCCCCUGUGGCUGCAGAGGGAGAUUUGGAGCUGAGAUGGCCUUUCUAAUGAUCCUGACUUGAGAGCAGAAAGUGAGAUCUUUAUAAGCCAGCACUGAUCAUCACUGCAUGGAGUCUGUGCCCGCAAAGGACAUCAUCCUGGUCAAGGCACUCCUCACCUGAGGUAUUUGUAUUUUUGACCCUUGAUGUAAGCCAACUUAUUGCACAGAUGGAGAAAGUGAAGCCAGAGAAGUCAGGGACUUGACUAAUGGAAUAGGAACUUCAACUAUUUCAUCGAAGGACAAGCAAUUGCUACAGGGCCGGAAUUACUUAAAGGGUAGAAAUCAGACUUUGGCUACGAAAAUGCUAAUCAAGAACUUUGCUGGUCAGACAUCAAUAGGGAAAGUCUGAGGGAAAAUACCAAGAAGGAGAAAUUGUCUUGACAGAGUUAAGAAGAGGAAAAGAUGUGAAAUGGGGCUUUAAAUUGCUAACACAGAGGGCCCUGCACUACUUCCUGAAAGACCUGGGAGACAGCGAGACAAGACAGGGAAGGAGGAAUGGGAUGGCAUAAGGACUCUCAGGGCAGCUGAGAUUUCAGGCUUCCCUCAGAAUUUCAUGCUGCUCAUUUGAGGCCACCUGCCACAGAGACCCCCCAAAUCAGAGAAAACUUGGGUGUGCUAGAAAAAGACACCUCAGCAUGCCCCAGUGUCCCCUAAAGGCAAAGCGGCACCAGCAUAGGAACACUCUAGAACUUUUCACACUGGUUCCCCAAGAGAUGGCCUGCCGAGCUUCUCAGAGGGGAAACAAAUGAGGAAACAAACGCUAGACAGGGAGAGAGGCAAGGGAAAACAGUUGGCUUUUCCUGUGUACCUGUGUUUGUUUCCUGAGACCGCGAGCUGAUCAAAGGACAAACUUCAAGCACCAAUGUUAUUUUGGUAUGAAGCUGGCUCAACAGCCCCUGCUGAUAUCUGGGAAUGAAUUUAACGCCAUUUCAAAAACUAUGUCUAAAAUCCCCUUACGAAGCCUGUCUCCCCACCUCUGGCUGACCGUUCUAGCCACAAAGAAGGGCUUAUCUUUGCCUCCUUCACUUCCUUCAUGCUGAACUCAUUUUCAAGUUUUUCUCUUCUUCCUACA